AUUCCAGCUCCAAUAGCGUAUAUUAAAGUUGUUGCAGUUAAAAAGCUCGUAGUUGGAUUUCUGGCUGGAGCGAUCGGUCCGCCCCGCAAGGGGUGUGUACUAGCGUCGUCUCCGACCAUCCUUGUGGGAACUGUGCGGCCGUUAACUCGGUUGUAUAUGGGAACACAUCGUUUACUGUGAAAAAAUUAGAGUGUUUAAAGCAGGCUUAAGCCGUUGAAUACAUUAGCAUGGAAUAAUAAGAUAAGACUUGGGUCAUUAUUUUGUUGGUUUGCGGAUCGAGGUAAUGAUUAAUAGGGAUAGUUGGGGGUAUUCAUAUUUAAUUGUCAGAGGUGAAAUUCUUGGAUUUAUGAAAGAUGAACUUAGGCGAAAGCAUUUACCAAGGAUGUUUUCAUCG
rnacentral:rRNA from 1 species